rnacentral:rRNA from 1 species
UACGGAGGGGGCUAGCGUUGUUCGGAAUUACUGGGCGUAAAGCGCACGUAGGCGGUUUUGUAAGUUAGAGGUGAAAGCCUGGGGCUCAACUCCAGAAUAGCCUUUAAGUCUGCAUCACUUGAACACGGGAGAGGUGAGUGGAAUUCCGAGUGUAGAGGUGAAAUUCGUAGAUAUUCGGAAGAACACCAGUGGCGAAGGCGGCUCACUGGACCGUUGUUGACGCUGAGGUGCGAAAGCGUGGGGAGCAAACAGG